GACGAACGCUGGCGGCGUGCUUAACACAUGCAAGUCGAGCGGAAAGGCCCUUCGGGGUACGUCGAGCGGCGAACGGGUGAGUAACACGUGGGCAACCUGCCCUCAGCUCUGGGAUAACUCCAAGAAAUUGGGGCUAAUACCGGAUAUGACCGCUGACCGCAUGGUCUGGUGGUGGAAAGAUUUAUCGGCUGGGGAUGGGCCCGCGGCCUAUCAGCUUGUUGGUGGGGUAGUGGCCACCAAGGCGACGACGGGUAGCCGGCCUGAGAGGGUGACCGGCCACACUGGGACUGAGACACGGCCCAGACUCCUACGGGAGGCAGCAGUGGGGAAUAUUGCGCAAUGGGCGGAAGCCUGACGCAGCGACGCCGCGUGGGGAGUGACGGCCUUCGGUU
rnacentral:rRNA from 1 species